AGGGAGGGAGGGGAGAGAGGGAGAGAGAGACGGAUAUCUCAGGUCAUCUGCAGCUGCAGCGAGUCUGAGGAGCCCGGGAAGGCAGGGAAGAUGGCGAUCCUCCAUUACUGAGACCCGGCAGAAGCACAUGAGACUCUCCAACAACUUCCACAACAAUAACCCGAGCAGGAAGAGGAGAAAGAGAAAGAGGAUAAGGAGGCGCUGGGGCUGGAGAACCCGAAACACCUCCCGGCGCCGGGACGCUGCUUCUGUUCCUAAUGUGAGAGGGUAGACCCAGAUCAUGGAGGUGCUUCAGUGUGACGGCUGUGACUUCCGAGCCCCAUCUUAUGAAGAUCUCAAGGCGCACAUUCAGGAUGUCCACACGGCAUUCCUACAGCCAACUGAUGUUGCCGAGGACAAUGCUAAUGAACCACGAUCCGGGUCCAUGAAUGCCAGUAAUCAGACAGAGGUGGAGUUUUCUUCUAUAAAGGAUGAGUUUGCGAUUGCAGAGGAUUUAGCAGGUCAAAAUGCAACUGCAUUGGGGACUGGAAGUUACUAUGGCCACAGUCCAGGAUAUUACGGUCAGCAUAUUGCCCCUAAUCCCAAACCAACAAACAAGUUUUUUCAGUGCAAGUUCUGCGUACGCUACUUCAGGUCAAAAAACCUCCUCAUAGAACAUACUAGGAAGGUCCAUGGAGCACAAGCUGAAGGGAGUUCGGCGGGACCUCCUGUUCCAGGAUCCUUAAAUUACAAUAUCAUGAUGCACGAGGGAUUUGGAAAGGUCUUCUCUUGCCAGUUUUGCACGUACAAGUCUCCAAGGAGGGCAAGAAUAAUUAAGCAUCAGAAGAUGUAUCACAAAAACAAUUUGAAGGAGACCACUGCUACCCCCCCUGCCCCUGCUCUGAUGCCAGACCCUGUGGUUCCGUCCAUGUCCCUGCAGGACCCGUGCAAGGAACUGCCCGCAGAGGUCGUGGAGCGUAGCAUCUUAGAGUCCAUGGUCAAGCCUUUGACCAAGUCUCGAGGCAACUUUUGUUGCGAAUGGUGCAGCUAUCACACUCCCCGCCGAGAACGCUGGUGUGACCACAUGAUGAAGAAGCACCGGAGUAUGGUCAAGAUCCUUUCUAGCCUCCGACAGCAACAAGAAGGGACUAAUCUACCCGACGUGCAGAACAAGAGUGCCCCCAGCCCCCCUUCCAACUCCACCUAUCUGUCCAUGAAUUCUGCAAGCCGGGAGAUACCCAACGCUAAUAUCUCCAACUUCAGGGGCUCCAUUGGAAAUUCUGUCAUGAGACCCAAUUCUUCUUCAGCUUCCAAGUUUUCUCCCAUGUCUUACCCUCAGAUGAAGCCGAAAUCACCUCAUAAUUCUGGCCUUGUUAACUUGGCAGAAAGAUCCCGUUACGGAAUGUCUGACAUGACAAAUUCUUCUACUGAUCUGGAAACUAACAGCAUGCUAAAUGACUCUAGUUCUGAUGAAGAGUUAAAUGAAAUAGACAGUGAGAAUGGUUUAAAUUCUAUGGAUCACCAGACAUCAGGUCUGUCUGCAGAGCAGCUGAUGGGUUCAGACGGCAACAAAUUGUUGGAGACCAAGGGGAUACCGUUUAGAAGAUUCAUGAAUAGGUUCCAGUGCCCCUUUUGUCCUUUCCUCACCAUGCAUCGACGUAGCAUCUCUCGUCACAUUGAAAAUAUCCACUUAUCUGGAAAGAUAGCUGUCUACAAAUGUGAUGAAUGUCCGUUUACUUGCAAGAGCUCGUUAAAACUUGGGGCUCACAAACAGUGUCACACGGGUACAACGUCAGAUUGGGAUGCUGUGAAUUCCCAGAGUGAAAGCAUUUCUUCCUCGUUGAAUGAAGGUGUGAUAUCUUACGAGAGCUCGAGCAUCAAUGGUAGAAAGUCAGGAGUCAUGUUGGAUCCCUUGCAGCAGCAACAGCCACCUCAGCCACCGCCGCCACCGCCGCAGCCACAAGAAUCUAGACUAAGACAAAUCAUGAACAACAUGGGUUUAAACUGCAUGGCUCUACUUAUAUGCAGACUUUUUUCAAGAUAUGAGUCUUGGAGAAAUUCAAGAGUUAAUAGACACAGACCAGAGGAACUAAUAGAAGCCGACUUGAUGGAGAUAAGUGCUUCCAAACCAAUGCCAGAUAAUGAGGAAAAAGACAUAGAAGAAACAGUUCCAGAAAAGAAAUUGACAUUAAACAAUCUGGCAAAAACAUUCUGA